CCUACGGGAGGCAGCAGUGGGGAAUAUUGCACAAUGGGCGAAACCCUGACGCAGCGACGCCGCGUGAGUGAAGAAGUUUUUCGGAAUGUAAAGCUCUAUCAGCAGGGAAGAAAAUGACGGUACCUGAUUAAGAAGCCCUGGCUAACUACUUGCCAGGAGCCGCGGUAAUACGUAGGGGCCAAGCGUUAUGCGGAUUUACUGGUUGUAAAGGUAGUGUAGAUGGCAGGACAUGACUGGAGUGAAAUGCCGGUGCUUAACCCCGGAACUGCUUUGGAAACUGUGCAGCUAGAGUGCAGGAGAGGAGAGUGGAAUUCCAGGUGUAGCGGUGAAAUGCGUAGAUAUUAGGAGGAACACCAGUGGCGAAGGCGGCUUACUGGACUGUAACUGACGCUGAGGCUCGAAAGCGUGGGGAGCAAACAGGAUUAGAUACCCUAGUAGUC
rnacentral:rRNA from 1 species